UAUUUAAACUGCUAUUAAUAU
rnacentral:piRNA from 1 species